rnacentral:rRNA from 1 species
UGGUUGUCGUCAGCUCGUGUCGUGAGAUGUUGGGUUAAGUCCCGCAACGAGCGCAACCCCUGUGGUUAGUUGCCAGCAAGUAGCGUUGGGCACUCUAGCCAGACUGCCGGUGAUAAAUCGGAGGAAGUGGGAUGACGUCAAAUCAUCAUGCCCUUAUGUUCUGGGCUACACACGUGCUACAAUGGCCGGUACAGACGGACGCAAAGCCGCGAGGUGGAGCAAAUCCUAAAAAGCCGGUCUCAGUUCGGAUUGCAGGCUGCAAUUCGCCUGCAUGAAGUCGGAAUCGCUAGUAAUCGUGGAUCAGCAUGCCACGGUCGAAUACGUUCCCGGGCCUU